AUUGAACGCUGGCGGCAGGCCUAACACAUGCAAGUCGAACGGUAACAGGAAGACGCUUGCUUCUUUGCUGACGAGUGGCGGGCGGGUGAGUAAUGUCUGGGAAACUGCCUGAUGGAGGGGGAUAACUACUGGAAACGGUAGCUAAUACCGCAUAACGUCGCAAGACCAAAGAGGGGGACCUUCGGGCCUCUUGCCAUCGGAUGUGCCCAGAUGGGAUUAGCUAGUAGGUGGGGUAACGGCUCACCUAGGCGACGAUCCCUAGCUGGUCUGAGAGGAUGACCAGCCACACUGGAACUGAGACACGGUCCAGACUCCUACGGGAGGCAGCAGUGGGGAAUAUUGCACAAUGGGCGCAAGCCUGAUGCAGCCAUGCCGCGUGUAUGAAGAAGGCCUUCGGGUUGUAAAGUACUUUCAGCGGGGAGGAAGGGAGUAAAGUUAAUACCUUUGCUCAUUGACGUUACCCGCAGAAGAAGCACCGGCUAACUCCGUG
rnacentral:rRNA from 1 species